GGGUUGUGAGGUUAAGCGACUAAGCGUACACGGUGGAUGCCCUGGCAGUCAGAGGCGAUGAAGGACGUGCUAAUCUGCGAAAAGCGUCGGUAAGGUGAUAUGAACCGUUAUAACCGGCGAUGUCCGAAUGGGGAAACCCAGUGCAAUUCGUUGCACUAUCGUUAACUGAAUACAUAGGUUAACGAGGCGAACCGGGGGAACUGAAACAUCUAAGUACCCCGAGGAAAAGAAAUCAACCGAGAUUCCCCCAGUAGCGGCGAGCGAACGGGGAGCAGCCCAGAGUCUGAAUCAGCUUGUGUGUUAGUGGAACGGUCUGGAAAGUCCGACGGUACAGGGUGAUAGUCCCGUACACCAAAAUGCACAGGUUGUGAACUCGAAGAGUAGGGCGGGACACGUGGUAUCCUGUCUGAAUAUGGGGGGACCAUCCUCCAAGGCUAAAUACUCCUGACUGACCGAUAGUGAACCAGUACCGUGAGGGAAAGGCGAAAAGAACCCCGGCGAGGGGAGUGAAAAAGAACCUGAAACCGUGUACGUACAAGCAGUGGGAGCACCUUCGGGUGUGACUGCGUACCUUUUGUAUAAUGGGUCAGCGACUUAUAUUCUGUAGCAAGGUUAACCGUAUAGGGGAGCCGCAGGGAAACCGAGUCUUAACUGGGCGUUAAGUUGCAGGGUAUAGACCCGAAACCCGGUGAUCUAGCCAUGGGCAGGUUGAAGGUUGGGUAACACUAACUGGAGGACCGAACCGACUAAUGUUGAAAAAUUAGCGGAUGACUUGUGGCUGGGGGUGAAAGGCCAAUCAAACCGGGAGAUAGCUGGUUCUCCCCGAAAGCUAUUUAGGUAGCGCCUCGUGAAUUCAUCUUCGGGGGUAGAGCACUGUUUCGGCUAGGGGGUCAUCCCGACUUACCAACCCGAUGCAAACUACGAAUACCGAAGAAUGUUAUCACGGGAGACACACGGCGGGUGCUAACGUCCGUCGUGAAGAGGGAAACAACCCAGACCGCCAGCUAAGGUCCCAAAGUCAUGGUUAAGUGGGAAACGAUGUGGGAAGGCACAGACAGCCAGGAUGUUGGCUUAGAAGCAGCCAUCAUUUAAAGAAAGCGUAAUAGCUCACUGGUCGAGUCGGCCUGCGCGGAAGAUGUAACGGGGCUAAACCAUGCACCGAAGCUGCGGCAGCGACACUAUGUGUUGUUGGGUAGGGGAGCGUUCUGUAAGCCUGCGAAGGUGUGCUGUGAGGUUGCUGGAGGUAUCAGAAGUGCGAAUGCUGACAUAAGUAACGAUAAAGCGGGUGAAAAGCCCGCUCGCCGGAAGACCAAGGGUUCCUGUCCAACGUUAAUCGGGGCAGGGUGAGUCGACCCCUAAGGCGAGGCCGAAAGGCGUAGUCGAUGGGAAACAGGUUAAUAUUCCUGUACUUGGUGUUACUGCGAAGGGGGGACGGAGAAGGCUAUGUUAGCCGGGCGACGGUUGUCCCGGUUUAAGCAUGUAGGCUGGUUAUCCAGGCAAAUCCGGAUAAUCAAGGCUGAGGUGUGAUGACGAGGCACUACGGUGCUGAAGUAACAAAUGCCCUGCUUCCAGGAAAAGCCUCUAAGCAUCAGGUAACAUCAAAUCGUACCCCAAACCGACACAGGUGGUCAGGUAGAGAAUACCAAGGCGCUUGAGAGAACUCGGGUGAAGGAACUAGGCAAAAUGGUGCCGUAACUUCGGGAGAAGGCACGCUGGUGUGUAGGUGAAGCCCCUGCGGAUGGAGCUGAGACCAGUCGAAGAUACCAGCUGGCUGCAACUGUUUAUUAAAAACACAGCACUGUGCAAACACGAAAGUGGACGUAUACGGUGUGACGCCUGCCCGGUGCCGGAAGGUUAAUUGAUGGGGUUAUCCGUAAGGAGAAGCUCUUGAUCGAAGCCCCGGUAAACGGCGGCCGUAACUAUAACGGUCCUAAGGUAGCGAAAUUCCUUGUCGGGUAAGUUCCGACCUGCACGAAUGGCGUAAUGAUGGCCAGGCUGUCUCCACCCGAGACUCAGUGAAAUUGAACUCGCUGUGAAGAUGCAGUGUACCCGCGGCAAGACGGAAAGACCCCGUGAACCUUUACUAUAGCUUGACACUGAACAUUGAGCCUUGAUGUGUAGGAUAGGUGGGAGGCUUUGAAGCGUGGACGCCAGUCUGCGUGGAGCCAACCUUGAAAUACCACCCUUUAAUGUUUGAUGUUCUAACGUUGGCCCCUGACCGGGGUUGCGGACAGUGUCUGGUGGGUAGUUUGACUGGGGCGGUCUCCUCCCAAAGCGUAACGGAGGAGCACGAAGGUUAGCUAAUCCUGGUCGGACAUCAGGAGGUUAGUGCAAUGGCAUAAGCUAGCUUGACUGCGAGCGUGACGGCGCGAGCAGGUGCGAAAGCAGGUCAUAGUGAUCCGGUGGUUCUGAAUGGAAGGGCCAUCGCUCAACGGAUAAAAGGUACUCCGGGGAUAACAGGCUGAUACCGCCCAAGAGUUCAUAUCGACGGCGGUGUUUGGCACCUCGAUGUCGGCUCAUCACAUCCUGGGGCUGAAGUAGGUCCCAAGGGUAUGGCUGUUCGCCAUUUAAAGUGGUACGCGAGCUGGGUUUAGAACGUCGUGAGACAGUUCGGUCCCUAUCUGCCGUGGGCGCUGGAGAAUUGAGGGGGGCUGCUCCUAGUACGAGAGGACCGGAGUGGACGCAUCACUGGUGUUCGGGUUGUCAUGCCAAUGGCACUGCCCGGUAGCUAAAUGCGGAAGAGAUAAGUGCUGAAAGCAUCUAAGCACGAAACUUGCCCCGAGAUGAGUUCUCCCUGAGACUUUAAGUCUCCUGAAGGAACGUUGAAGACGACGACGUUGAUAGGCCGGGUGUGUAAGCGCAGCGAUGCGUUGAGCUAACCGGUACUAAUGAACCGUGAGGCUUAACCUUACAACGCCGAAG
rnacentral:rRNA from 1 species